UACGUAGGGUGCGAGCGUUAAUCGGAAUUACUGGGCGUAAAGCGUGCGCAGGCGGUAAUGCAAGACAGAUGUGAAAUCCCCGGGCUUAACCUGGGAACUGCAUUUGUGACUGCAUUGCUGGAGUGCGGCAGAGGGGGAUGGAAUUCCGCGUGUAGCAGUGAAAUGCGUAGAUAUGCGGAGGAACACCGAUGGCGAAGGCAAUCCCCUGGGCCUGCACUGCGCUCAUGCACGAAAGCGUGGGGAGCAAACA
rnacentral:rRNA from 1 species